rfam:Triticum urartu cultivar G1812 contig1041288, whole genome shotgun sequence.
UAUAUACUUCCUCCGUUCCAAAUUACUCGUCACAGAAAUGUAUCUAGAACUAAAAUACAUCUAGAUACAUCCAUACCUGCGACAAGUAAUUCAGAACGGAGGGAGUAUAUA